ensembl:snoRNA SNORA79 Small nucleolar RNA SNORA79
CGACGUCGGUUCCUCCUCCUGACUGCAGUGGAUCAGGAGGAUUUUACGAGGUCGUAGAGUAACGAGUCUGUUUCACCCAGAGAGCUUCAGGCCACGGCUUCGCUCACGGCUUCCUGGUUUUGCGAGACUCUAUAAAAU